UUAAUGCUAAUGCAGAUGAACUAGGAAUGCUGAUGGAACUCUGCGUCGUUCUUCAAGGAUUCCUAUCAAGAAUAGGAAGUAUAUGAACUAAGUCUUGCUCUUGGACCAAGUCUUGCUGUUGCCUGCUGCUGUCAUAAACUUAUUUUUAUUUGUUGCACUUAUUUUUAAUUCUUCAUUUUUAUUUGAAUAAGUCAAAUGUGCUGUUAAGAUUUACUGCAGCAAAUAUUUCCUAUUUUUGCUCAUUGUGCCGUUUGUGGCCUUAAGUGUAGGAUUUGUCAGUUGUUCCUUCUGCUAUUUAUUCAUUUGUAUUGGCAGCAGUAAGGAGAAGAAAAAAAAUACACCAAAAUUCUCAUUUUGAGAACCAAA
rnacentral:misc_RNA from 1 species